rnacentral:rRNA from 1 species
AUGAAGUCAUAUCUUAUUUGGCUCUUGAAAGAACAUGAUGUCCCAAGAUAUCGAACACAAAAUGCAUGGAGCAAAGAGGCUUGGAGAAGUAUUGUGAAAGCAUUCAAUAUAAAGUUUGGUUUAUCACUCACAGUAACUCAGAUCAAACAAAAGGAGCAGGAUCUGAAGAAAGAUUUUAAAGCUAUACAAGACUUGAUAUCUGAAAGUGGUUUUGGUUGGGAUCGUGAUAGAAUGAUGGUGGUUGCUCCGGACAGUGUUUGGGAAGCAUUAAAGGCCCGUAAGAAGAAAGAUGCCCUCUGA